rfam:Picea glauca, whole genome shotgun sequence.
UCUACUCUGCUAGUCUUGGGAAUGGGCAUGAGUUGUUUGUAAUUUGGUUUUAGAGUUUUGUUUUCAUUUUUAUGUUUAUUUUUUUUAUGUUUUAUGUUUCAUGGUAUUUAAUAUAUAUAUAUAUAUAUGUCAAACCUUAAUAGAUUUAAUAUAAUUAAUAUAUAACCUUAUAAGUACAAUCGAACCAAAACUAGUACAGACAAGGGGAAUUCAACUGUUUAAUUAAAAUAAAGCAUUGCGAUGGUCCCUGCGGAUGCUGACACAAUGUGAUUUAUGCCUAGUGCUCUACAUGUCAAAGUGAAUAAAUUCAACCAACUGUGGGUAAACGACGAGAGUAACUAUGAAUAUCUUAAGGUAUCCAAAUGCCUCAUCAUCUAAUUAGUGACGUGCACGAAUGGAUUGAGAAGAUUCCCACCGUCCCUAUCUACUAUAUAGAGAAACCAUAACCAAGGGAAUGAGCUUGGCAGAAUCAACGAGGAAAGAAGAUCUUGUUGAGCUUGACUGUAGUUUGUCUUUGUGAAAUGACUUGAGAGGUGUAGAAUAAGUUGGAGUUGUUUUUGAUACAAGUGAAAUACCACUACUUUUAACGUUAUUUUACUUAUUUUGUGGGGCAGAGAUGAGGCAUCGCCCCUGUUUUUGGCCAUAAGACACGUUUCGACGGGUCGUUCUGGGUGGAAUACAUUGUCAGGUGGGGAGUUUGGCUGGGGUGGCACAUCUAUUAAAAGAUAAUUCAUGUGUCCUAAGAUGAGCUCAACGAGAACAUAAAUCUCAUGUGGAACAAAAGGGUAAAAGCUCAUUUGAUUUUCCACCAACCUCUUGAUGCUUAUAAUUCAUUAAUGGACAUGAAUUAAUACAUCAAUUAGAUGUUUUCAUGCAUCAACAUAGUUAAUUUAAAAUACUAAUUGCUUGAGUAAGAUUAAGUGGCCAAUGAUGCAUCUAGAGGAAUGGUUCAUGCAGCCCCAGGAGAGGAUAGGAUAAUAGGACUAGAGAUGUGUGGAGGGAGUAUAAAUACAUAAUUAAUGUUAAUCACACUCACCAAUGACUAAGGACCAACUUUUGACAUGCAAGAAAGUUAUUGUGAUUAAUCUGAACCUUUCAUUUAUGAGGACGACAAAUAAUAUUCCAUUUCUAUUAAAUCAUGUCCGCAGAAAGAAGAUGCAUCAUUAAUAUAGAAAUGUUUAGGACUAUUUGAUUUGUAUAAUUUUAAAUAGUAAAGAAGGGUAAAUGUCAUACAAUUUUAAAUUUUUUCAAUUUAUUAUUAUUAGAAUAUGUCUAGACAAUCUUGAUUGAAAUUGUAAUUUUGGAUUUGAUGAAAUUGUAAUUUUAGGUUGGAGGCAUUUCUUCAAUGUAGUUGU